AGGGGUAAGAAAGCCCUCCCGCCCUUAAAGUUAUACCCCCACCAGGACCCGAACCAGCAAGGGCCGAACCGGUCCGGCAGUUCGGCCAUUCCUUAGAAUGGCCACCGGACCGGUUCGGACACACCCCUACCGCUGGCUCUGAGUGAGUGCCGAGCCUGCAGCUUCUGGCCUCUGGGACUUCAGCUGUUGAAGACUUUGGAAAGAGAAGGCGCCGGAGGACAGUUAAAAUGUGAGCAUUUGUACAUGUAUAAAUGGGAAGUCACGAUACAAAUGAAAAGUAUACUUAGAUGGAAAAUCAAACAAAGAUCUACAACUCUCAAGCACAUGAAGCUUUGUAAGAAAUCUUGCAAGAGGUGCCCACUGAAGAACAUGUAGAUCCAUGGAUUGCAACAACUAUUCAAGCUGGACAGAAGGGCAGUGACUGUAACUACAGUGUCUUCAGACUCUGUCAAAAGAAAACAUUGCUUAGCAACACUCUGCAGUGCCAUAAACCAUUUAUUUUUAAUUCUGAGUCUUUAACAAAUGAGCAAGGACUAAAAUUUGAAACAGAAUAGCUGGGUUUUGUACGCAAGAAAUCGUGAAAGUCUAUACAGAGCCUUGUACUACAAAUGCAAAGGAAGUGGAAACAUCUAUUUCAUCUAUCAGACACAGACUAGCUGCGUGAGUUCUCUAUCAGUGCAUUAUUGCAUAACAUAAAUAGUGGGUGUUUGACCACUUAUGACAGUAUUGCCCUUCAUAGCAGAUUUUGUCCCCUGUGUUGUUUGCUUAUUUAUUUAGCUUGCUAGAAACAAUCUACACAGUUCCUAGACUAAAGGUUUAGAUUCUUCUGGUUUAUUGUUAUAGUUCUAAUUACAAAGAUGGACGUGCCUAAACCGCAGUUUGAAGUGUGGUUCAAGCACAGUUCGGAAGCGGCCUGGGAUAGCUUUAAGAAAGAGGAGAGCAGAUCCUUUCCUGCUCUCCGCCGCCCCAUGCAAUUUCCUACUGGGCCGGAGCUCGGCCCAAGCACAUGUGGUGGUGCUGACCAUGCAAAUGGUGCCUGUGCAUGCAUGGGUGCCAUGUGUGUGCUGGUGCUGUAUGGGGGUAUUUGGACCAAGUGCCACCCCAUCAAGAAGCUGCAUGGGGUGGCAGAGAGCAGGUAAGAUCCUGUUCUCUUUCUUAAAGCUCUCCACACCACUUCCAAACUCUGCCUGAACCACGCUUUGAACUGGGGCAUAUUCCUAAUAUGUAUGAUACCUAAUUGUGUCUUGCUUAUAAACUUGUGUUUUUCAUUGCUUUAUAUAAUGUAUAUUAUAUGAUAUAAAUAUAUUAAAGAAGAACAGCAGGUA